UGCCCGACCGGGCGCCGCCGCCAUUUUGUCUGUCGCCCUUCGCCCAGGGCCCGGCACAGGGCCUCCCGCGGGGAAGGCUGCUUACUUCGUAUUUGCUAAGCGGAUGAGUGGGAGCCAUUCUAAAUUUAAAAAUAUUAACCAGUGCUCUCGUGGCGUGUCCUUCUGCCCGUUGCCCUUGCUCCACCCCAAACAGGCAGCCCCUGAGAGGGACUCAUCCCCUCAAGGAGCGAAUGACUGGACGAGGAGGCGCUUUUGAGGGAACUCUCGGGACAGAAACAACUGAUUUGGACAAAUACCUGAUAAAUUAGAUUUCCUGACUUGGAGGAAGUGGAGAAUACGUAGGGGAGCAAGGUGAAAAACAAUUAUGUUCCAGCAAUUUCACACGAUUCGACCUCAAGGCUAUUGAACGUGUAUGCAGUGCAGUAAGCGCAGCACUAAGUGCUUUAGUGGUAAGAGAGGUUCCAACAGCCACAGCUAAAAUGCUGGUCAGAAGCUCCUGGACAACACUGUGCAAGUUCUCUAAAGAAGGAGGGUGAAUUCGAUGAGAAAUGACUGCUCGGUGAGCAGGAUUCUGGAGAACGUGGCUGCGCAUUUUCAGGGCUUUCCCAUGGAGAGAGAUGGUGGUGGAAAGUUGUAUGUGCUUUGAGAUAGCAAUCGUAAUGUAGGAAAUGUAAGCCCCAGGAAGAGUCAUAACAAAUAGUACUAACGACUGUGGUCACAUGCUCCUCUGCCUUG